CGUGUAAGGUAAUUGCUAAGUCGAUAACUUGAGAACAUUACAGCUGAUGUUCUUGUAGAAAGAACUGUCAUGUGAAACACUUAAAAAACCUAGACCUUGAAUGCACCUGUUAUACAUAACAGUAUCUCCAUAUUCUAUAAAAACUCGUUCCUAGAUUCGUGGUUGUAUUAUCACGGUCAACAGAAAGUCACAAAAGUCUUAUUAAAAGAUGAAGAUGACUUUGAGAAUUUCAGUCUUACUCCUGGUUGUGGUGGUUACCAGAGCUUCUCUCUACUGCGGCGCUGGUGAGUAUUGUUCUUCAGGAAAGACGUGUUGCUGGCGGCCCAACGGACACUUAGGCUGUUGUCCAUAUGAGUACGCCAACUGCUGUGGUGGGGCUUCCUUCUGCUGUGGUCCUGGUUCAGCCUGUGAUUUGGAGAAUAAAAGAUGCUAUUCCAGAGAUUCAAAGUCUUCGCCAGCUGUGCCAUUGAUUUUCAAAUCUUGAAAUAACGGCUUUUCCGAAGGUUGUAAAUGUCCAAUGAUUUUGUUUUCUAUACUCUGCAUUUGUCAGACGAAGUCCUAAUAUGCUACAAAAU